rnacentral:rRNA from 1 species
GACGUAAGAGGCGAGCGGUGUCCGGAAUCACUGGGCGUAAAGCGCGUGUAGGCGGCUUGGUAAGUCGGAUGUGAAAUCCCUGGGCUCAACCCAGGAACUGCGUCCGAGACUGCCAGGCUUGAGAGCAGGAGAGGAGAGUGGAAUUCCGGGUGUAGCGGUGAAAUGCGUAGAUAUCCGGAGGAACACCAGUUGCGAAGGCGGCUCUCUGGCCUGUAUCUGACGCUGAGACGCGAAAGCGUGGGGAGCGAACGGG